rnacentral:rRNA from 1 species
UACGAAGGGUGCAAGCGUUAAUCGGAAUUACUGGGCGUAAAGCGUGCGUAGGCGGCUUUGUAAGUUAGAGGUGAAAGCCCAGGGCUUAACUCUGGAAUUGCCUUUAAGACUGCAUCGCUAGAAUCGUGGAGAGGUGAGUGGAAUUCCGUGAGUUGUAGAGGUGAAAUUCGUAGAUAUUCGGAAGAACACCAGUGGCGAAGGCGACUCACUGGACACGUAUUGACGCUGAGGUGCGAAAGCGUGGGGAGCAAACAGGG